rnacentral:rRNA from 1 species
CAGCAUGAGUGUAGCAAUACAUUUGAUGGCGACCGGCAAACGGGUGCGGAACACGUACAGAACCUUCCUUCGAGCGGGGAAUAGCCCGGAGAAAUCCGGAUUAAUACCCCAUAGUAUGGUGAAGAGGCAUCUCUUUACUAUUAAAGAUUUAUCACUUGAAGAUGGCUGUGCGGCUGAUUAGGUAGUUGGCGGGGUAACGGCCCACCAAGCCUGCGAUCAGUAACUGGUGUGAGAGCACGACCAGUCACACGGGCACUGAGACACGGGCCCGACUCCUACGGGAGGCAGCAGUAAGGAAUAUUGGUCAAUGGACGAAAGUCUGAACCAGCCAUGCCGCGUGGAGGAUGAAGGUCCUCUGGAUUGUAAACCUCUUUUAUAUGGGACGAAAAAAGGCCUUUCCAGGUCGUCUGACGGUACCAUAUGAAUAAGCACCGGCUAACUCCGUGCCAGCAGCCGCGGUAAUACGGAGGGUGCAAGCGUUAUCCGGAUUCACUGGGUUUAAAGGGUGCGUAGGUGGGUUGAUAAGUCAGUGGUGAAAUCCCCGAGCUUAACUUGGGAACUGCCAUUGAUACUAUUGAUCUUGAAUACCGUGGAGGUCAGCGGAAUAUGUCAUGUAGCGGUGAAAUGCUUAGAUAUGACAUAGAACACCAAUUGCGAAGGCAGCUGGCUACGCGAAUAUUGACACUGAUGCACGAAAGCGUGGGGAUCAAACAGGAUUAGAUACCCUGGUAGUCCACGCCCUAAACUAUGGAUACUCGACAUCAGCGAUACACUGUUGGUGUCUGAGCGAAAGCAUUAAGUAUCCCACCUGGGAAGUACGAUCGCAAGAUUGAAACUC